AGGUUGCCUCCAGUUUAGAAAUUAUGAAAUGACCUUCUAUAAACAUUGAUGUGGCUGCAUUACUAUAAUAUGCUGGUUUUUAAGUCCUUUGGGUAUAGACUGAGGAGUAGGAUAGCUGGGUCAAAUGGUAGUUCCAUUCCAGAUUUUCUAAGGAAUCUCAAUACUGCUUUCCAGAGUGGUUGCACCAAUUUUCAGUCCCACCAGCAAUGUAUGAGUGUGCCUUUCCCCAGACAUCCUUGCCAACACUUAU
rnacentral:lncRNA from 1 species